GAUGAACGCUGGCAGAAUGCUUAACACAUGCAAGUCCUUCGCGAAGCUGCGCUUGCGCAGUCUAGCUAAGGCGGACGGGUGGGUAACGCGUAAGGAACUUGCCCUGCAGACAGGGAUCACAGACGGAAACGACUGAUAACACCUGGUAUUGUCAGCCUGGCGCCUGCCGGCCUGAUGAAAGGAGACGCUGCAGGAGAGCCUUGCGUCCUAUUAGCUAGUUGGUGGGUUAACGGCCCACCCAGGCGAUGAUAGGUAGCCGGCCUGAGAGGGUGAACGGCCACAAGGGGACUGAGAUACGGCCCUUACUCCUACGGGAGGCAGCAGUGGGGAAUAUUGGACAAUGGGGGCAACCCUGAUCCAGCAAUUCUGUGUGCACGAAGAAGGUUUUCGGAUUGUAAAGUGCUUUCAGCAGGGAAGAAGAAAGUGACGGUACCUGCAGAAGAAGCGACGGCUAAAUACGUG
rnacentral:rRNA from 1 species